UACAGAGGGUGCAAGCGUUAAUCGGAAUUACUGGGCGUAAAGCGUGACGUAGACGGUUAUGUAAGUCAGAUGUGAAAGCCCCGGGCUUAAACCUGGGGAAUGGCCAUUUGAGACUGCAUAAGCUAGGGUGCGGAAGAGGGAAGCGGAAGUUUCCGGUGAUGAGCGGUGAAAUGCGUAGAUAUCGGAAGGAACACCAGUGGCGAAAGCGGCUUCCUGGUCCAGC
rnacentral:rRNA from 1 species